rnacentral:rRNA from 1 species
GAUGAACGCUAGCGGCAGGCUUAACACAUGCAAGUCGAGGGGCAGCACGGGUAGCAAUACCUGGUGGCGACCGGCAAACGGGUGCGGAACACGUACGCAACAUACCUUUUACUGGGGCAUAGCCUUCUGAAAAGAAGAUUAACACCCCAUAAUAUCAAUGACUGGCAUCAGUUGAUGAUUAAAAUUUAUGGUAAGAGAUUGGCGUGCGUCCUAUUAGCUAGNGGUAUGGGUAAUGGCCUACCAAGGCGACGAUAGGUAGCUGGUGUGAGAGCACGACCAGCCACACGGGCACUGAGACACGGGCCCGACUCCUACGGGAGGCAGCAGUGAGGAAUAUUGGUCAAUGGACGAGAGUCUGAACCAGCCAUGCCGCGUGAAGGAUGAAGGCGUUCUGCGUUGUAAACUUCUUUUAUCUGGGAAGAAACCCCUUUUUUCUAAGAGGGCCGACGGUCCAGAGGAAUAAGCACCGGCUAACUCCGUGCCAGCAGCCGCCGCC